AUUUGUCUCUGGUUCCGGAGAGCCUUCAUUAUUGUCUUCCGUUAUCCAGUCUCUCGCCACCGGUAGCAGAUACUGUUUAUACUUCACUUUUGCUUAUGGACUGAGGACGUUGUACACUCUAAAUGAAUUGAAAAGUCUACAGUUUAUAAGAAGUGUCCUGGAUCGCUGAUAUCAUUCAGACAACCCGCUUAUCUUUCCAUGCUAGGAGAAGAAUAUCGCCUCUUCUGGAAAAUAUGUCACCUUUCUUCAUUCUUGAUGUUUUCAUUUUCAAAUUUGGCGGUAAACCUCUACGCUCCCUAGUAGUCCCACAGACUCUAGUUUUGUUCUGUAGCAGCAAUUCAGCAGUAGAUGUAGCAUUGUAAUAAUUAUCCUGGUAAAUAUGGUGCCAUAUGCCAAGAUAGGGUCCAAGGACUGAAAGAACAGUUUCUUCCAAUUUCCUUCCUUCAGCAGUGUAUAUCUCCAUAUUGCAGAUAUAGCCGGUGUCUCUCUGGCACACCAUCCGAACAAGUAAACCGUAUUUUG